AUUGAACGCUGGCGGCAUGCCUUACACAUGCAAGUCGAACGGUAACAGGUCUUCGGAUGCUGACGAGUGGCGAACGGGUGAGUAAUACAUCGGAACGUGCCUAGUAGUGGGGGAUAACUACUCGAAAGAGUGGCUAAUACCGCAUGAGAUCUACGGAUGAAAGCAGGGGAUCGCAAGACCUUGUGCUACUAGAGCGGCCGAUGGCAGAUUAGGUAGUUGGUGGGAUAAAAGCUUACCAAGCCGACGAUCUGUAGCUGGUCUGAGAGGACGAUCAGCCACACUGGGACUGAGACACGGCCCAGACUCCUACGGGAGGCAGCAGUGGGGAAUUUUGGACAAUGGGCGAAAGCCUGAUCCAGCAAUGCCGCGUGCAGGAUGAAGGCCUUCGGGUUGUAAACUGCUUUUGUACGGAACGAAAAGCCCCGGGUUAAUACCCUGGGGUCAUGACGGUACUGUAUGAAUAAGGACCGGCUAAUUCCGUGCCAGCCGCCGCAGUAA
rnacentral:rRNA from 1 species